rnacentral:lncRNA from 1 species
AUGGCUAAGUGGUUAAUACCUUUCCUUUUAAAAAAAUAUGACAAUCUCCAGCAGGGCAAUCACUAAAGUUUGGCAGCAAAGAAAGAUUUUAGAAUCCUACAGUCAGCCCCUCUUUUCCUCUCUGUGAGCAGACAGUGUAAGUUCGAUACUUUGGAGAUAUUCACUCAACAAAAGAAACUAUAAAAUAAGAUAAUCUACAACAUAUUGAGGCAACAAACAAAUAUUCCUGAACUCAAUAGUCUAGAAAAUAUGAUUGAAUGAUGAUGCCAAGAAGACAACAACAGAUGCAGAAGAAUUCUCACCAACAAGUAAUUCAUAAAAUUGACCAGUAGUUAAUAUAGAUAAGGUCGGGAGAUGAACAUCUAUAAAAGAUCAACAGCGAAUUGUAGAAAUAGAGAUAGCUUCACAAUCACAGUGUGUUGAAGAAAUAUAAACAACAUGCAUGUUUACAUGCUAGUGGCUAUCCAAUCAACUAUCUUCUGUGUGCGCAUGUGUUGCUAGUCAAUCAGUCAAUACACUUAUUCGAGCUAUGCUGCUACCCAAGUUUGAUCUCUCUCAAGGGAAGCCAGCUUUGCUGUGUUUGCAAUUUGCCGUCGGCCAAAGACACGUGACAGCUGAAAUACUGGUUUCAGAAAUAUACAUAUGCUAGUGGUUUAUAUGUCUCGAUCAAAGAUCAUCUGAGUGUUUGACAAUUUAACAUGACCCUUAUGUAAGAGGGACACAUGAUCCACCUAUUACUUCAUACUCCCUCCGUUCCAAAUUACUCGUCGUGGUUUUAGUUCAAAUUUGAAUUAAAACUACGACGAGUAAUUUAAAACAGAGGGAGUACAUGAUACAUGUUAGAUCUCUUCAUAACAAGUAGGCAUUUCAGGUACGAAAGUGCUCUGCACACGAUUGGCUCCAGGAUGAUUUCGCUUAACGGGAUUAGGAGCCACACAGAUUUAAAAAAAAACCCAGUUAAUCAUAUGGUCUACCUGACUUGUCAUCUGUGGAUCGUACGUCGAUACUCGUGUGCAUAGCAGUGCUCUUUCAGGUAAGACGAACAUGUUUUAGAACAUCCUGUGUGGAAUCUAAAAUAAACAAAUAAAUAAAGAGCAUUAAUUGUCUAACAGUCCUUAUCACUGUUAUGACUAUAAUAAGGAUUUUUUUCCAAUUCACACACGAAAAUACAUCGAUCCGGGGAUUCUCAAUGUCGAUUGUUUACCAUGGUUUUAAUCAACCUGCCAUCAAACCCACUGCAUAUAUUUGUGUCAGAUUACAGUAUGCUAAUGAACAUUUAUUCUCCACUUGAUUUAAACAAUCAUUCAUUCUUCAUUAAAAUUGCAAUAUGCACAUUUUUUUACAAUCAAUACCAUAUAUAUUAUAGAAGCAAAUAGUACAUGGUACAGAUACAUGAGCUGAAUAAAUCUAGACGUGAUCACCAGGGCAAAGAAUUUGUCAAGAAAAGAAGAGACGCACAAUCUACCAAAAAUUCUAUAACGUCAGAGCAAUAUGCACUACACACAUGGGUAUAAUACAAUGACAACGCAGGAGAGGACAGAGAUUGACGUACCUGUGAUGGUGUCCUCAAUGGAGCAAAGGGAUUCUUGAAUUCUGGGAUGUUGGCUUUCCACGCAUCCACGUACAUCUGCUACGCCUCAUGCAGGCGCCACUGCAUUCCCUUGGAGAGCCCCACCGCGGCCAACCAGAGAGGAGGCACGGCCGGGACAAGGCCCUGCAGCCGGGAGGACGCCGGCCAGCCAGGGGCAGGGGGGUAGCCAGGCGAGAUGGAGCGCAGGGGAGGGCGGGGGAGGGGGAGGGCGACGCGCCGCGCCAGGGCAGCACCGGUGACGACGACGGGGAGGGACUNNN